AUAGAAGUAUCAUUGCUUGCUUUUUGGGAAAAGCAUGGAAAGUGGGUGUUCAUGAAAGAAACUUUACCAUGGCUUUGUUGCUCAAAGAAAUAUAGGGAAAAAGAAUAGGGAACCGGAUUGAAAUAAAUAAUUUUCAAUCAUCUCUUCUUCAAUAUUCUUCUAAAAAGGGUGUUUCACUAUUGUAUCACCGAGAUGGUUCAACACAAUGUUACAGGUCAUAAUUAACCCGGUGAAUAUAUAUUAUAAUUAUUUAUAUAUUAAAAUUAUUAUUAAAUAAUUAUAAUAUAUAUUCACUGGGUUAUGACUGAUAACACACAACUUAUGCACCUAUGGAGUUUGGUUCCCAAUAAUUUCAACCACAGGCUGCACUCGACUACACAACUUUGUCUUCAGCAAAUACUCAACUGUGUGUUAGUGGCUACCGAUUCUAUCCAAGCUGUCCAGAUUCCCAGCCAGCCCCGAGGCCGCCAAAGCUCGAUGCAGUGAUGGAAAUCAAAGGGUCAGACAGAGACACCGGCGCAAUCCCAGUAC